GUGCAGUUUCACUAAAGGAGGAGGGGAAAGGCAGACGGGAGGCACACAGACACUCUGAAGCAACAGUCACUCCCAUGCAGGACUGUAAAAGACAAAACAGCCUUGGUGGCAGAUACAUAAGCAUAGGGUUUAAUAAGUCAAAUGGCACAAACCCACAGCAGACGUCCUUUUUCUGAGCAAAGACACAUACAACUGUGUUGGCCUAGGUGCAAAAAAGAGGACAACUAACCACUAAGAAGAGCACUAAGAACAGAGGAGUUGGGAGGACGAAAGGGAAGAGAAGAGUGAGAGGGAUGUGAAGAGGGACAGCUGGAAUGAUUCAAGUUGUAACUUGGCUCUGCAGUCCAGGUACUGAGAGUUUGAGCAACAGCAGAAGACAGAGGAGCAGCGAGUGGGCUUCACGGCGUCUCACUCUCCUCCUGGUGCACGUGCUAAGCCCCAUCAGUAUCUGAGGAAUUAUCCCUGCUAACCCUAAUCUUGAGCUGAGACAGAGUCGGAGGACACCUCCUCUGUGUGACGUGCAGCAGGCUCUGACAACAUUCACUCACUCUCUCACACACACACACAGAGACUCUGACAACUGAGAAGACAACUCUCCAGCUUGCUCGCUCCCUCAGGAUGGAUGCCAGAGAGGAGACACUGAACCUUCUCAACAGGAUAUGGACCAAGCUGCAGGAUCUGCCCAAUGCCAACCCUGUGGAGCUGGGGGCUUUCUUCAUCCUCCUAACCUUCAUCUUGGUCGUGGUGCUCAUGAUAGUGCUGACCUGCGUGACUUGCUGCUGCUGUCGCCAGAUCAGGACCAAGGGACCCCAAGUCUGAGGAGAAACACUCACACGGGCGUUCUGUGGACAUCUAACUCUCAAAUACAUCGGGCCCCGUACACAUGAGCCCCCCGGGUCCUCUAUUCACAAAACGGGCAUUCUCUGCAGUUCUCUUGGGCAUGGAGAGUCCUGCAGGCUGAUUGAGAAUUCACACUGGGAAGCCAAUGCUCAGGUCCUUCACAGACGGGCUUUGUACUGUAGACCUUGAACUCGGUGAGCAGGGAGGCCUCGUACAGGGUGUGUUAAGUGGCUCUAAAGGGGCCCAGCCCUUGAACAACGCAGCACCUGACAAACACAGUGCAGGAUGUCCUGACAGGCUGCCAAACACACCCGCCAAAGCUUCCAGGCUUUCAGGAGUAUCAGCAUUCCACAAAGCAUCCCGGGGCUCUGCAGCCCAACAAUGCUGCCUUUGACCCGAGGAAAGGGCAGGGCCGCAUGGGGCCUCCCCAAAGUGUCUUUAAUAAUGAAGGUAAAUACGUGGAGUGUCAAUGCUGAAUGUGCACAAGGCAAAUAUAAAAUACUCAACAACAGCAGUUAUACUGGGGAAAAUGAGAGGAACACAAGUUGGUUUGUUUGUGGUUUUCUAAGCCUCCUUGUGCUACGUUCUUAAGAGACGUCAGCGGCAGUGAUGCUUACAUUGUGUAAAAGCUUCCUAAAUGGGCACAGCUUGCCACUGCCAAGCCUCAAAAUGUUCCUUGACAUUCAACAAAACACACACCUGAAAGAGGGAUCAAGUCUGCCCUCUGUUGUGCAAAAACAGAAAUGGACCAUGAUCUAAAAAAAAAAAAAAAAAAUACAUGGAGUGUCUAUAAUAAAAGUGAUGUUUGCUGUGCAGAACU